AGAAUUUGUAUUACAUUUGAAAUCAUUGAAGCAAGAGUUAUGUAUGUGAGAGAAGUAUCCAAUAAUUAAAAGUGUAUCGUAUAGCUUUACGAGUAAGGAGUAGAAAAAUGAAAAUAAAGGUAAGAGAAAGAGAGAAUGGUUACUGAAAAUUUGAAUAAAGUACGAAGAAAGUGCAGCGUCGCAUCUUAAUCACGACCGUCAGAUUUGGGUCCCUCUUUCAUAGUGUACGGAUACAUAAACAAUGGUGAUUAACAAAAAAAAAGACUAAUUAAUUAUUACCGUUUUGAUCAAAAAAUAAUAAUAAUAAUAAUAAUUAUUACCGUUUAUUUAAGAAAUUUAAUUACCUCGUCGGGAGUGUAAAAUUAGAUAAAAAUAAAUUAUCUCGGGCUUUGUCGCACGUACAUUGGGUUAAUCGCUAGAAAGGGUAAAUAAAUAGGAUAAGCCAUAUGACGAGAAUAUCCUCAGUAGCGAAAGAAGGGUGAAACUGUCAAUUAACAUAGAAACAGUGUAUUAUGAUGGAUGGGCUUUGCACUGUCUCAGCAUGGACUAGAUAAGUCUGUGACAGAUCCAAUAGUGUAUUUGCUCCUCAUUGAUCGAAUCUCAUAUUCUGAUACGAUCAUGACCGUUAGUCCACUUUGACCAAUUAUAUGAUUUUUGCUACCUUUGCUUUUUGUAUGUAUUUUUUCCCAUUUUUAGUGGUUUAGUAAUUAGUACCCUUUUUUUAUUUUUCCACUGAAGUAAGUAUUAUUAGUACCAUUCUCAAUUCUUUCCUUGGAAAAUAGUGUAUUAUUUGGUUCAAACAUUUCGGCAUAGAGAAGCAUGAAGCCUGUAAUAAACAAAAGAAAGAGGUAAUUAGGAAAAAAACAACGAUUGUGAAAACGCCGUGGUCUAAUGGUUAAGGUUUAAAGGUUUUUACACCCAGGUCGACAAUGCAAUUUUUACAAGAAAAUGUUUGGGUUUCAAUUCUCGGAAAAGGCGAAUUACGCGUAAAAUUAGAGAAAAUGGUUACAAAAGAUCUUUGGCAUGGCGCAAGGAGUAUCGUCAGAAAUGGAUCUCAUAAGGCUAUUCAGGGUGAUGCAGUCAGGCGUGAAUCCUCAUAAGACAUGUAGAAUUGUCUGUUGUAAUAUCGUAUAUAUAAUGUUUUAUAAAUGAAUCUCAUAGGGCUAUUAAGGGUGAUGCAGUCAGGCGUGAAUCCUCAUAAGACAUGUAGAAUUGUCUGUUGUAAUAUCGUAUAUAUAAUGUUUUUUAUAAUUUGUAAUAACAAAAUUAAACAGAAAAAAAAAAACAAAAGAAAGAGGUAAUUAGGAAAAAAAACAACGAUUGGAGGAGAGUCAGACGGAGAACGGGAGAAGUGAUGAGCUGAGUUGUCUUGCACGUAAUACGUGAGGAUUAUCAUUUAAUUAGUGUCGUCAGAAAAAGGAACCUAGUUAAUUAAUUGGAUAUUAGUGGUCAUUGGUUCUUUAAUAAUCAACUGAUUAUUUAUUUGUAAGAUAUGACUAGAAUAAUAAUCCCACGCAUGGCUCCCCCCGCGAAUCUCUCCUCUUCUCCUUCGGUUUCGAACUGAAACUAGCUUGCACUUUGCUGUAUGAGUAUUAAUUAUCCCCGUAAUUAUUUAAAAAUAUUCUUUAGCAACACCAAAUCUGACUGCGAACAAAAAUCAAGCGUGUGUAUAUGUACGCAUGUGUCUAAGUACAAGGCACGUUAUAAUGGUUUGUGUAAGCACCUGUGUGUAAGAUAGAUGAUGAGUGAUAAUGCGAUUAGUGAAGAGGUGGUGUACAAGUAAAGUGGCACGUGAUAAAAAGCUAACAUGGAUUAUGUUGAUAACCUCACCAUUAGUGGAAGCCAUCCUUUUUCGCCUUUUUCACUUUUAUUUGAUGAUAUUUGAUUGUUCUCUUCUCUACAUCUUUUUAUAAUUUGUCAAAAUCUGUAUACCUAAUCUUUGCUUCUUUUUUGUUGUCAACAAUAUCUCUGCUUUCUAUGUUUUACAAAAAAAAAAAAAUCUCUGCUUUCUAAUUUAUCAAACUCGUGUUCCUCCGAACCACGAUCUUGAUUAUAACAUUUGCCGCUUUUAUUUUUGCUUUUUCUCUGUAUUAAUUUAUGGGAGAUUUUGGUGUAUAUUCAAAAUAGAGAAGGGAAUGAAGAAUAUACCGCUGAUUUUGACAUAAUGAAAUCGAUGACAAUUAGCCCAAUAAAGGCCCGGUUUUGCCCCUUUGCAGUACAAGUUCCCGGUUACCGCGAGCGAAGGAGAGGACUGCUGUGUUUCAUAUGGUAUAGUAAUCUUCGCUGUGUUUGAAAUGGUAUAUACGUGUGUACCUGAUAUUUUACAGAAGAUACGUUACAGUUGUAAAAAUCGCAUACAGUAUUACGGUUUUCAGUAAAAACAUGUGGACACUAGUUGAUACAAGUAUUCCAUUUUCACCUAACCACGUGCUAAAAUUCGAUGGUAUGGAAAUGAGUGGCCUGUAAACUAUUUACCAUCACAUCAUCACCAGAAGGCAACGUCACCAACGUAUUUACCGCAUACGUUGGCACGGUGAUCAGUAAAAACGUGUGGAUAAUAAGUGGUGAUGUUCUCAAUAUAUGUGUAUUCUAUUUACUCCAACCUGUUAAUCUAUCUCUGUAACAAAAGACACUGAAGAAGAUAAACACAAAGAAGAAGUUAAUGCUUGACUGAAGAAGGUGAACACAGAGAAGAAGUUAAUGCUUAACCGCAUCGAUCAGAUGGAUGGACAAGAUAUGGUUUUACUUGUACUUGGGACAUGGAUCCGUGACGCAGACAGACGUUGGAUCUUUGAACCCGACAUAGGGUGCACACGUGAGGAGUACAUUCGCCUACACACUCAGAUGAAGCUGGUGGAGCUGCAGAUAGUAAACCCUAACCGGUAUAGAUAAUCUGGAAAACUAAACCCUAAAAUGAAAAUAGUAAACCCAAACCAGAUGUGUAAGAACUAUACUAUUUAUCACUAACAAGUGAUCCAUAAACUGUGGUUGUUCUAUUCUACUUGGUGAGAGUGAACCAUACUAUAUAAGUACUGUCAAACAAUAACAACAAUCCUCAACACAAUUCAAUCGAAAUCAGACUACUACUGUACUACACAAACAACAUAAACCAAAUAAUAGACCCAAACCAAAUCUGGAAAACUAAACCCUAAAAUGAAAAUAGUAAACCCAAACCAGA